CCUACGGGAGGCAGCAGUAGGGAAUCUUCCACAAUGGGCGCAAGCCUGAUGGAGCAACACCGCGUGAGUGAAGAAGGGUUUCGGCUCGUAAAGCUCUGUUGUUGGAGAAGAACGUGCGUGAGAGUAACUGUUCACGCAGUGACGGUAUCCAACCAGAAAGUCACGGCUAACUACGUGCCAGCAGCCGCGGUAAUACGUAGGUGGCAAGCGUUAUCCGGAUUUAUUGGGCGUAAAGCGAGCGCAGGCGGUUGCUUAGGUCUGAUGUGAAAGCCUUCGGCUUAACCGAAGAAGUGCACCGGAAACCGGGCAACUUGAGUGCAGAAGAGGACAGUGGAACUCCAUGUGUAGCGGUGGAAUGCGUAGUUAUAUGGAAGAACACCAGUGGCGAAGGCGGCUGUCUGGUCUGCAACUGACGCUGAGGCUCGAAAGCAUGGGUAGCGAACAGGAUUAGAUACCCGAGUAGUC
rnacentral:rRNA from 1 species